ACUCCUACGGGAGGCAGCAGUGGGGAAUAUUGCACAAUGGGGGAAACCCUGAUGCAGCAACGCCGCGUGAGUGAUGACGGUCUUCGGAUUGUAAAGCUCUGUCUUCUGGGACGAUAAUGACGGUACCAGAGGAGGAAGCCACGGCUAACUACGUGCCAGCAGCCGCGGUAAUACGUAGGUGGCGAGCGUUAUCCGGAUUUACUGGGCGUAAAGGGAGCGUAGGCGGAUAAUUAAGUGAGAUGUGAAAUCCCCGGGCUUAACUUGGGGGCUGCAUUUCAAACUGGAUGUCUAGAGUGCAGGAGAGGAAAGCAGAAUUCCUAGUGUAGCGGUGAAAUGCGUAGAGAUUAGGAAGAAUACCAGUGGCGAAGGCGGCUUUCUGGACUGUAACUGACGCUGAGGCAUGAAAGCGUGGGGAGCAAACAGGAUUAGAUACCCUGGUAGUC
rnacentral:rRNA from 1 species